rfam:Xanthomonas oryzae pv. oryzae KACC10331, complete genome.
AUGUCCCGCUCGUACAUUGCGAUUUCUCCGCGCCGUCCACACGGACCUGACGACUGCUGGCUACGUUGUGUUAGCC